GGUCUGCCUCAUAGUAGCCAUGUUUGCAGUCUUUCCCCACCAGCUCGUGAGGGUGGGGCUUGUGAGGCGGGUUCUUGGUCACCAAGGAGACACGGACACGCAGGGGACCAUUGUAGUUGUGCACCUGCAUGGGAGCAAACCAGGGGAGCUGAUAGGUUUGGAGUACCUCUUCGAUCAAACUGGUUUGGUGCUGCAGGAUUACAAGGCUGCCAUUGAGGAACUGGAGACAGGUGAUCCUGAUGUCCAAGAGGAGGAUGAUGAGGGCUUUGUGGAGCUUGUGGAAUUUCAGGACCUGACAGUUCCAGUGGUGGAGACAGCCCUGCCUCUUGUUGGCACCUUUCAUUUUACUCCCACCCCCUCUACCAGAAUCCAGUCCACAGCUGCAUCAGCCAGUCCCCUGUCCUCCACUCCUGUUCGGGUUAAUGUUACUCCUUAGUCCAGGACCAGAAAUGUUAUUUUUAGUGUGAAUUGACUCUGGCAGUCAAAACAGCCAAAUACACCUUCUGAUCGUGAAUCGAUUCUCAAUUCCGGUACGGGUUUAGAAACAUAAAACACAGCAAAAUAAUUUCACAUGCAAAAUACACACUUAGUGUACACUGUUUUAACACAGUUGCAGCCAAGCAUAUUUUUUUGUGACAACAUGUUGCAGCGCCCUUCUUCUGUUUACACAUAAGUGUUAGGAGACACAGAUAGAUUUUUAGCACAGACUCUGAAAACACGCUGUAACAUGGAGAUAUGGCCGUGUGGUAAGGUAACAUAAAGGUGUGUAUAAUUUUAACCUUUUGUUUAGAGAGUCUGGGCUCUAAACAAAACUCCCCCGUACAGAAGACGCCUUCAUCCAAUAACUCUUAUGUGUGAUGUAAUGAAGUGAGAGUCAUGAUCAACAGGCUAUCUCGAUAGAAGCAAAGAGUUGGAAUACAAACUAAAUAUACAGUGAGCUCCAAAAGUAUAGGGAUAGUGAAAUAUUUGGUUCUUUUGGCUCUGUACUCCAGCACUUUGGGUUUGAAAUGAUACAAAGUGCAGACUGUCAGCUUUAAUUUGUACAUAGUCCCCCCCAUUUAAGAGGAACCAAAAGUAUUGGGACAAAUUAACUUAUGUUUAUUAAAGUAGUCGAAAGUUUAGUAUUUGGUCCCAUAUUCAUAGCACACAAUGAUUACAUCAAGCUUGUGACUAUACCAACUGUUGGACGCAUUUGCUCUUUGUUUUGGUUGUGUUUCAGAUGAUUUUGUGCCCAAUAGAAAUAACUGUUUUUUAAUGUAUUGUCAUUUUGGAGUCACUUAUUGUAAAUAAGAAUAGAAUAUGUUUCUAAACACUUCUACAUUAAUGUGGAUGAUACCAGGAUUGCGGAUAGUCCUGAUGAAUUCUGAAUAAUGAUGAGUGAGAAAGUUACAGACACACAAAUAUCAUGCUGUAUGACAUAAGGGCUAUGUUGAGAGGUAGCUUGCAAGUAAGCAUUUCAUUGCACUGUUUACACCCCGCUGUAUUCUGUAUAUAUGAUUUGUAAAAUUGGGUUUGAUUUUAUUUUUGACAGUAAGGAUGCUUGCCAUUUCAGAAGACAUAGUUCUGAAAAAGAGUACACCGGGGCUACUGUAUAUCUCUGGAUAAAUUUGGCCAGGAGGACUGUACUGCUUCAAGUUGGCAACCCAGUAACAAGGCACACUUGUUGGGUCAACACGAGAUGCAGUUCAACCUUUAAAGAAAGCAGACCUUCAAGUGGGUUGUUGAAAAUGCUCUGUGGUAUGCUGGGUAUUUGGUGGCAUCGAUGAAGAGUGACGCAAAAAAAAAAAAAAAAAACAUGCUGCUAAUCAGAUUACUUUGAAGGUGUGCCUGGAGGUCCCGCCCCACCAUCCAGUCCUCCGCUCCUGUAUGUACUACUCCACCACCAGCUGGUACUCUGUCCGUGGACUUGACACCUGUCUGGGCCUCUGUUCAUGAUCUCCACACCUGUGCCCGUCUGGGCCUCUGUCCGUGCCCUCGACACCCGUGGCCGACACCGGUGCCCGGCUGGGCCUCUGUUCAUGAUCUCCACACCUGUGCCCGGCUGGGUCUCUGUCUUUGAAUUCCACACCUAUGCUCGGGUGUCCCUCAGUCAGCCCCGUCCUCUGCUCCUUACAGGCUGGGCAUUCUGAUGGCAUUCUUAAUUCACUCUGAGCACAAAACCCCUUAUCUGAAUUCUCUAAUUACAUUUUGAUCAAGUGUCAGUCUUUGAAUGCUCCAUUGUAUAAACAAUUUAAUUUUCCUGCUUGUGUGCCUUGUGCACUGAUUUCAAACAAUUUGAAUAUAUUUGUCAUUCUCACGUCUUCCUCCAA